rnacentral:rRNA from 1 species
UACGAAGGGGGCGAGCGUUGUUCGGAAUUACUGGGCGUAAAGCGUGCGCAGGCGGCUAUGCAAGACAGAUGUGAAAUCCCCGGGCUCAACCUGGGAACUGCAUUUGUGACUGCAUGGCUGGAGUACGGCAGAGGGGGAUGGAAUUCCGCGUGUAGCAGUGAAAUGCGUAGAUAUGCGGAGGAACACCGAUGGCGAAGGCAAUCCCCUGGGCCUGUACUGACGCUCAUGCACGAAAGCGUGGGGAGCAAACAGG